UGGAACAAUACAUGGGUAGAUUUUACUUU
rnacentral:piRNA from 1 species